GGGGGUAUGGCUCACAUGGUAGAGUGCUUGCCUAAGAAGCAUGAGUCACUGAGCUCAAGCCCCAGUACUGCUA
rnacentral:tRNA from 1 species